rnacentral:rRNA from 1 species
CCAAGCGAUGGGGUGACGCAGGAAGAUAGCUGGGCCAGUCAGUGGUCGUACUGGUGUAAGAGUGUAGGCCGUGACAUAGGCAAAUCCGUGUCACAUUAAGGCUGAGACUUGAUGCAUACCCGUUGUGGGGAAUUCAGUGAUCCUAUGCUGCCGAGAAAAGCCUCUAGUGAGUUCAUACACGGCCCGUACCCCAAACCGACACAGGUGAUCAGGUAGAGAAUACCAAGGCGAUCGAGAGAACUGUGGUUAAGGAACUCGGCAAAAUGCCCCCGUAACUUCGGGAGAAGGGGGACCAUGCCCGGUGAACAUCUUCACGGUGGGAGCUGGGUGUGGUCGCAGAGACCAGAGAGAAGCGACUGUUUACUAAAAACACAGGUCCGUGCGAAGACGUAAGUCGAUGUAUACGGACUGACGCCUGCCCGGUGCUGGAAGGUUAAGAGGACCGGUUAGCCGUAAGGCGAAGCUGAGAAUUUAAGCCCCAGUAAACGGCGGUGGUAACUAUAACCAUCCUAAGGUAGCGAAAUUCCUUGUCGGGUAAGUUCCGACCUGCACGAAUGGCGUAACGACUUCUCUGCUGUCUCGACCACAGACUCGGCGAAAUUGCACUACGAGUAAAGAUGCUCGUUACGCGCGGCAGGACGAAAAGACCCCGGGACCUUUACUAUAGCUUGGUAUUGGCGUUCGAUUCGGUUUGUGUAGGAUAGGUGGGAGACUGUGAAGCAUGCACGCCAGUGUGUGUGGAGUCGUUGUUGAAAUACCACUCUGAUCGUAUUGGACGUCUAACCUCGGCCCAUGAUCUGGGUUAGGGACAGUGCCUGGUGGGUAGUUUAACUGGGGCGGUUGCCUCCUAAAGAGUAACGGAGGCGCCUAAAGGUUCCCUCAGCCUGGAUGGCAAUCAGGUGUUGAGUGCAAGUGCACAAGGGAGCUUGACUGUGAGACGGACACGUCGAGCAGGGACGAAAGUCGGGACUAGUGAUCCGGCACCGGCAAGUGGAAGCGGUGUCGCUCAACGGAUAAAAGGUACCCCGGGGAUAACAGGCUGAUCUUCCCCAAGAGUCCAUAUCGACGGGAUGGUUUGUCACCUCGACGUCGGCUCGUCGCAUCCUGGGGCUGGAGUAGGUUCCAAGGGUUGGGCUGUUCGCCCAUUAAAGCGGCACGCGAGCUGGGUUUAGAACGUCGUGAGACAGUUCGGUCUCUAUCCGCCGCGCGCGUAAGAAACUUGAGGAAGGCUGUCCCUAGUACGAGAGGACCGGGACGGACGAACCUCUGGUGUGCCAGUUGUUCCACCAGGAGCAUGGCUGGUUAGCUACGUUCGGAAGGGAUAACCGCUGAAAGCAUCUAAGCGGGAAGCCUGUUCCAAGAUGAGGUUUCUCACCACCUUGCGUGGUUAAGGCCCCCUACAGACCAUGGGGUUGAUAGGCCGGAACUGGAAGCGCAGCAAUGCGUGGAGGUGACCGGUACUAAUAGGCCGAGGGCU